AAGACUAUACUUUCAGGGAUCAUUUCUAUAGUUUCUGACUUGAGAAAUGUGUUUCUAAAGUGUUUGGUCUCGCUAACCACGAUGAAGAGGUGUCGAUACUCUUCCCUGAGCGCGAAGCGGGCGGAGGACUUUGAUGUAUUUCAUGUGUCCUCCGCUUUUGAUGACCGUUCACUGUCUCUUCGGGGACAAUGAGGGGGAGAGUGUGAUCAGAGUGGC